AAAAUGUGAAUAGGAAGCAGGACUUGUUUUUUUUUUCGUAUCGAUAAAUAGGUGAAGAUAAAGGGUGAGACAUGAAAAGAUGAGAAGGGUGUGAAAGAU